AGCAGCCGCGGUAAUUCCAGCUCCAAUAGCGUAUAUUAAAGUUGUUGCAGUUAAAAAGCUCGUAGUUGAAUUUCGGGGUCAGUAGGUUGGUCGUGCCACCGGUACGUACUGGUCUCACUGAUCCCUCCUCCCUGAAGAACCGUAAUGCCAUUAAUUUGGCGUUGCGGGGAAACAGGACUGUUACUUUGAAAAAAUUAGAGUGUUUAAAGCAGGCUAACGCUUGAAUACAUUAGCAUGGAAUAAUGAAAUAGGACGAUCGAUCCUAUUUUGUUGGUUUCUAGGAUUGACGUAAUGAUUAAUAGGGAUAGUUGGGGGCAUUAGUAUUCAAUUGUCAGAGGUGAAAUUCUUGGAUUUAUUGAAGACUAACUACUGCGAAAGCAUUUGCCAAGGAUGUCUUCAUUAAUCAAGAACGAAAGUUAGGGGAUCGAAGACGAUCAGAUACCGUCGUAGUCUUAACCAUAAACUAUGCCGACUAGGGAUCGGAUGAUGUUAAUUUUAUAAUGACUCAUUCGGCGCCUUA
rnacentral:rRNA from 1 species